GGAAAGGAAAAAAUCAAACAUUAACUUAUCAACUUGACUUACUUCUUGCGAUCUUCUCUUCUUUAGCGAUCCAGUACCUUCGGCAAAGGAAUUAUAGCGCUCGGGUGAGGUUCAAAAGGAAGGGUUCACAGUGUACUUUUAUUUAAAGAUAUCCGUGCGGGUUGAAGGGGCUGAAUCAGAAGCAUCGAAUAAAAGCUUUGACUUUCUUCUUUUUUCGCCCGUAGGAGUGACUCCU
rnacentral:misc_RNA from 1 species